AUUAGCUGGGUGUCAUGGCUGGCAAAGACCUGCGCAUCUUAGAAUUGGAAAGAAAUACGAUAUUGCUGGUGGAAACACUGUGACGCAAGCACGUAGGACCGCGGCGGCAACAGCUGGUGGACUCUCCCGCGCCCCCAUCACGCCGACACCAUGCAGCCUCACGAGUCUGGAGUUGAGGAAGCAAUGUGGCGGACUGUCACUACGAUGUCUGCGCCUGGCCGCCCAUCCCGGUCGAGGGGCCAGAGCGCUAUUCCCUGUCUGUUUUCCUUCCAUUAACCAAAGUCGAGUUUCAAGCAGCAUCGACCUUCCCUCUGCCGCCGCCCUUUCGAGUGUAUCUGGGGCGGAUCCAAAUGCUGCCCAUUCUCCAGGUCGUCAUCUUGGGUUAAAGUUCCAUUGUUAUAAAAGGAAGAGUUGGUCCGUGACUUUGAGCUCCCUUAGUCUUCAGCAUGAGUGUUUUCUUGGCUUUGUUUUGGUUAUGUUAGCUUUGUGUGAUGUGAUGUAACUCUUGCAGUUCGUCCGUAGUGUCCAUAACUCUGGCUUCUUUCAUUUUGAGCUUGUUUUUAUGUGCACGGCAAAAGUUUUCAUGCGAUUAUGUUAACUUAGUGUGAAUCGAUGUAAUUGUUGAUUGAAAUGAAAGGCUCACUCGG